AAGGGGCUUCGGCCCGGAGUAGAGCGGCGAACGGGUGAGUAACACGUGGGUGACCUGCCUGGGGGUGGGGGAUAACCUGGGGAAACUCGGGCUAAUACCGCAUACGUUCCCGGAGCUACGGUUCCGGGAGGAAAGGUGGCCUCUGCUUGCAAGCCACCGCUCCCAGAGGGGCCCGCGGCUGAUUAGCUAGUUGGUGGGGUAACGGCCCACCAAGGCGACGAUCAGUAGCCGGCCUGAGAGGGUGAUCGGCCACACUGGAACUGAGACACGGUCCAGACUCCUACGGGAGGCAGCAGUGGGGAAUAUUGGACAAUGGGGGCAACCCUGAUCCAGCAACGCCGCGUGGGGGAUGAAGGUCUUCGGAUUGUAAACCCCUGUUAAGAGGGACGAAGGCUUUCGGGCGAACAGUCCGGAAGCUUGACGGUACCUCUAGAGGAAGCCCCGGCUAACUCUGUGCCAGCAGCCGCGGUAAUACAGAGGGGGCGAGCGUUAUUCGGAAUUAUUGGGCGUAAAGGGCGCGUAGGCGGCUGGGCAAGUCCAAGGUGAAAUCCCUCGGCUCAACCGAGGAACUGCCUUGGAAACUGCCCGGCUUGAGGCCGGGAGAGGGUAGUGGAAUUCCCAGUGUAGCGGUGAAAUGCGUAGAUAUUGGGAGGAACACCGGUGGCGAAGGCGGCUACCUGGACCGGUUCUGACGCUGAGGCGCGAAAGCGUGGGGAGCAAACAGGAUUAGAUACCCUGGUAGUCCACGCCCUAAACGAUGGGUACUCGGUGUCGCGGGUAUCGACCCCUGCGGUGCCUUAG
rnacentral:rRNA from 1 species